ensembl:snRNA U6 U6 spliceosomal RNA
UUGCUUUGGCAGCACAUAUACUGUAAUUGGAACAAUACAAAGAAGAUUAGCGUGGCUCCUGAGUGAGGAUGACAUGCAGAUUUGUCAUAUUUUU